rnacentral:misc_RNA from 1 species
GAUGAAGAACGUAGCGAAAUGCGAUAAGUAAUGAGAAUUGCAGAAUUCAGUGAAUCAUCGAAUCUUUGAACGCACAUUGCGCCCCCUGGUAUUCCGGGGGGCAUGCCUGUUCGAGCGUCAUUACAACCCUCAAGCUCUGCUUGGUAUUGGGCCCCGCCAGUUCUGGCGGGCCCUAAAGUCAGUGGCGGUGCCUUCCGGCUCCGAGCGUAGUAAUUCUUCUCGCUCUGGAGACCCGGUUGUGUGCUUGCCAACAACCCCCAAUUUUUUAAGGUUGACCUCGGAUCAGGUAGGGAUACCCGCUGAACUUAAGCAUAUCAAUAAGCGGAGGA